rnacentral:rRNA from 1 species
UGGGGAAUAUUGCACAAUGGGGGAAACCCUGAUGCAGCGACGCCGCGUGAACGAAGAAGGUAUUCGUAUCGUAAAGUUCUGUCCUAUGGGAAGAUAAUGACAGUACCAUAGAAGAAAGCUCCGGCUAAAUACGUGCCAGCAGCCGCGGUAAUACGUAUGGAGCGAGCGUUGUCCGGAAUUAUUGGGCGUAAAGGGUACGUAGGCGGCCCAGUAAGUUAGAAGUGAAAUAAUAUAGCUCAACUAUAUAAAGCUUUUAAAACUGCUAGGCUUGAGAGAUGGAAGGGAAAGUGGAAUUCCUAGUGUAGCGGUGAAAUGCGUAGAUAUAUGGAGGAACACCGGUGGCGAAAGCGGCUCUCUGGUCUGUAACUGACGCUGAGGCUCGAAAGCGUGGGGAGCGAACAGG